rnacentral:tRNA from 1 species
GCCGGUGUGAUGGAAUUGGCAGACGUGCUGGACUCAAAAUCCAGUGGUGGCGACACCAUGCGGGUUCGACCCCCGCCACCGGCACCA